CAUAGAAAUGAAAAUAUGCUUUCUGUGGUAGCAGCUAACAUUGCCUUUAAGGGCAUAGUAGUAGGAGUACAGAGUUCAGAUCAGCAGGAAGUAGGGAUCAAGGGAAAUCCUUGGACAUUCUCAAAGACCUCAUAAACAUCACUCUAACCUGGGAGGGUUGACCAACAGUGUAUGAAGAGUGGCUGUAAAAAUACUCAUAGAAGCCAAUAAAGCUUUCAGACUUUGUCCUACACAGUGAGCCACUGUCCCAGAUGAAUCCGUAAUGGCCACUAUCAGCAGAGCUCUGAGAAUCUACCAGAUGACACUUCACCAAUUGUAGGGAGAAGACAGAGGAGCCUGAGGGCAUCAGGGAAGUUCAGAGUGAGAAGAGUAUGGUAUUUUCCUUUGAGAACAGGGCUUCAGAUGCCAGCUUUGCACCUGGAUAAGCUGUGGCAUCUCAGGAAAGUGACUUCACCUCUCCAAAUAUUACUCUCCUCAUCUGUAUUGUUAAAGAGGGGUGAGAAGGUUACAUGUCAAGCUGAGAGAUAAAAGGAGGCCAAUAAACGUUAGUCUUCCUUA